UACGGGGGGAGCAAGCGUUGUUCGGAUUUACUGGGCGUAAAGGGCGCGUAGGCGGUCGUGACAAGUCACUUGUGAAAUCUCCGGGCUUAACUCGGAACGGUCAAGUGAUACUGUCGGACUAGAGUACAGAAGGGGCAACUGGAAUUCUCGGUGUAGCGGUGAAAUGCGUAGAUAUCUGGAGGAACACCGGUGGCGAAGGCGGCAUCCUGGACCGAUACUGACGCUGAGGAGCGAAAGCCAGGGGAGCAAACGGG
rnacentral:rRNA from 1 species